UCCUUCCUAAAGUCCAUACAAUUAAAAUUAGAUAGUAUCUUCCUAGGCACGUGGUGUAUAGCAAGAAGUUGUAACAAUUCUACACUAUUCCUAUUGGUACGAUUGUUUAAUGUAUCAUUAAAUGAUCUAUAAAGUAUAAAUUUGAUUUCCAACCUAAUCUGUAGAGUGCAAACGACUGGGUUUUCAGUUAGGUACUUAAAAGUUAGUUUUAUAAUCGAAUUGUUUUGAAAUAAUUUGGCACCUGUUAGAUUAUGGAAUAACUAUGCAGUUUUUAAAAUAAUAACAUAUUUCCUGUAUAAUAAUAAUUAAUAGGUACUUAUUUGAUAAUUGCAGGCGUGGGUUUAUGUGUUAUUGUACGUAGGUAUCUGUAUACGCAUUUAGUCGUCGCUUAUUGGACUCACUUUGGGAAGAAUAAAAGGAUAAAUAAUAUGUAUAUUAUAAUUAAUAUUAUAAAUAUACAAAUAUAUUGUAUUUAGCUAGGUAUUAUAAUAAAUACUCAUUGUUAAGCGUUUAUAAUUAUUUAUGUUGUCAAUCAUAAAGAAAAAAUAUGAAAAUUGACAACACUAUAACUAUAAAUAAAUAAAAUAUAUUUUUUUUCGAAAAUAAUGUUUUGUUAUGACUUAAAAUUUUAUUAGAAAUAUAUUUUUAAAAUCUUAAAUAUUUUUAGAUGUGUGGCAAGUCGAGAAAAUAGUAUUAUCAGGUGAGGAUAGAAAUAAGUAUCUAUAAAAUCGAAAAAAUGGAUAAAAUGUGAAAAUAUAUCGUUCAAUAUACAUCGUUGACUAUAUUAAUCAGCUGUGCAUCGAGUCUGAUUGGCGAAUUAGUCCAUUACCGAAGAGUUCAAUAACUAAUAAGCGGCGACUACAUACUUUCUGUGUCACUAUAAUAGUAUGUAACUAUAUACUUAUAGAAUGUAAUAAAACUGGACCAAGAAAUUAUAUCAUGCAACGAUAAAAUUAAUUGGCCUAGCCUAUCAUUAUAUUUUGUUUGACGUGUGUAAUUAUUGCGCUUAAAUCGUUUAUUAGUAAAUGCAAUUUGAGUGACUUAUUAGCUUACCAUACUGUUUUGGUGCCGUAUGGCGGACAGUGCACCUUAUGAGUCUCAACCCGGGCCGGUCGAGGUUCCAACUUAGCCAUUCGGCUACUUCGUCACCACAGUCGAUUCCUUCCAAGGACCCACCCCAACAUAUUUUGCCUUCCUUUUUCUUAGCGUCGGUUUGUUUCGUCUCCAGAGAAA